CGCCAACGAUUGGAAAUUAUUUUGUGAAGAUUGGGGUGGUACAGAGGCAAAAGGCAUUACAGCUGAAAUUGAUUGUUUGGGGAAUGAUUUCCUUGGAUCUAGUGAAGAUAUGACAAUUUCUGAGGAGCAUAUGAAUUUGAGCGACGAAUCGAAUGCUGGGUCUGAGUCUAGAAAACCCAUCAUUAAGAUUUCACCAGACAAUUUCUGAGGAGCAUAUGAAUUUGAGUGACGAAUCGAAUGCUGGGUCUGAGUCUAGAAAACCCAUCAUUAAGAUUUCACCAGAG
rnacentral:lncRNA from 1 species